UCUCUCACAGAAGUGACAAAUGGGAAACCCAGGACCACCAAGGAACACAGCCUAGAAAAGAGCCCAGGGUCAGCUGAAGCCUCGGCUCCUCCUUGAAGCCCUACUCCUCUCCCUCUCUUCUGGAAGAUUCCGAAGCAAGCAAAUCCAGAUCCUCUCUCUAUGAUCCUUUCUGGAGAUUACCAGUCUCUCCUGAGCACUCAGCUACAAGUCCUGGCCAGGUCCUCAGCAGGGUCUCACAGGGAGCAGCUGAGCACGCCAUCAGGAACCUGAACCUGGAAUCUGUUACAUCUGACUGGAAUCACUGUUUCCUCAUCCAGAAAAGGAAGUAACCAUAGUACCUAUUUCACUGAGCUAUUCACGGGAACAAGCUGUUAAAGCAGAUAGUACCUGACAAAUAAUAAUGUUGGCUAUUACUAGCUAAUAUUCUUUUAAUGGAAGAGGA